CCCUUAGAUGUUCUGGGCUGCACGCGUGUUACAAUCGGGAGUACAACAAGAUUGCAAAUCCUAGUGGAUGAGUGGUUCUUCGAAAUUUUCUGAAGACUGGGAUAGUUGAUUGAAAUUAUUCAACUCGAACGAGGAAUUCCUUGUAAUUGUAAUUCAUUAUAUUGUAAUGAAUACGUCCCUGCCCUUUGUACACACUGCCCGUCGCUCCUACCGAUUGAACGAUCCGGUGAAUUAUUUGGAGUAGCUCUGGAAGUUGCAGAACUUCCUAUGUCACGAAAUUUUGUAAACCUUAUCGUUUAGAGGAAGGAAAAGUCGUAACA
rnacentral:rRNA from 1 species